rnacentral:rRNA from 1 species
AAGGGCUGCAGUAUAUUGACUGUACAAAGGUAGCAUAAUCAAUAGUCUUUUAAUUGGAGACUUGUAUGAAUGAUUUGAUGAAAUAUAAACUGUCUCUUUAUUAUUAUUAGAAUUUAAUUUUUUAGUCAAAAAGCUAAAAUAGAUAUAAAAGACGAGAAGACCCUAUAGAGUUUUAUUUUUAUUUAUAUUUAAAAUAUUUAUAAAAUUUAUAUUUUAAAUAUAAAUAAAAAUUUUGUUGGGGUGAUAGAAAAAUUAAAGAAACUUUUUUUAAAUAUUAAACAUAAAUAAAUGAUUUUUUGAUCCAUAAUUUAUGAUUACAAGAAUAAAUUACCUUAGGGAUAACAGCGUAAUUUUUUUUUUUAGUUCUUAUAAAAAAAAGAGUUUGCGACCUCGAUGUUGGAUUAAGAUAAAAUUUAAAUGCAAAAGUUUAAAAUU